GUGAGUCAUCGAAUCUUUGAACGCAUAUUGCGCCCCUUGGUAUUCCGGGGGGCACACCUGUUCGAGCGCCAUUUAGACCCUCAAGCAUAGCUUGUUGUUGGGCAAGGUCCCUUGGGGGACCAGCCCGUAACUUGUAGGCGGUCACCGACCUAAUCCCCAGCGUAGCAAGCUAACGCAUUCGCUCGGGAAAAAGGCGAGUUUGAUCAGUCACCAAAUCAACUUUUUUUUUCAAGGUUUGGCCUCGGAUCAGGUGGGGAUACCCGCUGAACUUAAGCAUAUCAAUAAGCGGAGGA
rnacentral:misc_RNA from 1 species